rnacentral:lncRNA from 1 species
GAGAGGAAAUGGAAUAGUUAAAUACUCUUCCUUUUUAUGGGUGCUUAUAGUUGGCUGAGAUGUUGUAAAUGGUUCUAGUAUUGCUUGCUGUUGGAUUUGGCUGUGUGUGGCUCUUAUGAGGCUUGUUGUGUGUCCGUGUUGAUGGUCGGUUUUGUAGAUGUGACUGGUUUCACUGUUCGGAUCUCGGAGUCGGAACGGUGUAGAGGUGCUCUUUUGAAGGGUGACCUGGGGACAGUUUUUUUGUGGGAUGGCGGGUCCAGGGACCAUCUGAGUAUGGGUGCUUGCUGGUGCAUAGGCUUCCUGUGGGCUGCCGUUUUGAGCUGGGCUUGCUCUAUUUUCAGGCUUAUACUUAGAUAAUAUGCACUAUGAUAACUUUCCUG